UUUCCUAGUACUCUUCCUGGAUUAUCACUGAGUAGAGCUGAGGGAGCGAACAACAGUUGAAUAUAUUAGACUAAAAAAAAAAGAAAAAAGAAAAGAGGCGGCUGCUGCGGCGACUGAGGUGGGGAAUUGCUGCUCCGACGUGGCGUCGGACUGUCGGCGGUCGGCGGCAUUGCUUCAUUGUAAGCUAAUUCUUCCAACGCUCCGAACGAUGCGAUAGAUGCUUUUCUCAACUCUCGCGGCUGCAAAUGCCUUUACUCUCAGAUCGAGAUUGAUCCUAUGGCAGUUAUUUACGCCGAAAGGAAAGAUAGUUCGCUUCAAGAGUUUGGUCGUACUGAAGUUCUUUUGAACUCUCCUGAGUCACAAGUGGAUUAAAAAGUUACAGUAUUGCCUACCAGUUUGAGAUAGUGCAGUAUUUAGUGUUUCACGCGUAUGGUGUCGAUACCCAGUUUCGCAAUGUAGAUGUAAAGGUAUGUCACGCUGCUCCUAUAAAAUGUUCUUCCGAGAAUUGAAUCCUUAGAGGAUUGAUUAUCUGUUUUAUGGGAUGGUGUCCAGUUGUUGAGGACUUGUUGAUUUCAUGUUAGCAUACCCAUUAUGAACAGUUGUUUUGCAAAUAUAACAAAGAACAAUAAUUUAAGUUGA